rnacentral:rRNA from 1 species
AGUGAACGCUGGCGGUAGGCCUAACACAUGCAAGUCGAACGGCAGCACAGGAGAGCUUGCUCUCUGGGUGGCGAGUGGCGGACGGGUGAGGAAUACAUCGGAAUCUACUCUGUCGUGGGGGAUAACGUAGGGAAACUGACGCUGAUACCGCAUACGACCUAGGGGUGAACGCAGGGGACCUUCGGUCCUCGCGUGAUAGAAUGAGUCGAUGUCGGAGUAGGUAGUUGGGAGGGUAAAGGCCCACCAAGGCGACGAUUCGUAGCUGGUCUGAGAGGAUGAUCAGCCACACUGGAACUGAGACACGGUCCAGACUCCUACGGGAGGCAGCAGUGGGGAAUAUUGGACAAUGGGCGCAAGCCUGAUCCAGCCAUACCGCGUGGGUGAAGAAGGCCUUCGGGUUGUAAAGCCCUUUUGUUGGGAAAGAAAUCCAGCUGGCUAAUACCCGGUUGGGAUGACGGUACCCAAAGAAUAAGCACCGGCUAACUUCGUGCCAGCCGCCGCCGUAA